UUUGUGAUUGGUGAUUUGUAAAAUUGAGAAUGAUUGAAAAAUCAGUAUUUUUUCACCCAAAGGCAUGAGGGAACAUUUGAUAAGUUUAUUGUGAUUUAAUUGGUAAUUUGGUCGACAUUUUGACAAUUAUAUUUAGCAAUAUUUCGAUAAAUGCGGACCUGCUUCUUCCUCUUUUCGUAGUGUUUCGAUAACUCAGGUCAGUUUCACGGCAAAAAUAAGUGGUAGUUUUGAAUUUCGAAUGUGCAUUUAUUGAUGUAACGAUAAAGUACAUUUCGGAGAAUAAUUAGUGAAAGUUUCAUUAGACUUCGAGAUCUACAUUUUCGACAAAGGCCUGGUGUAACAUUAUUACGUACUUGAUGAAGGUAAUAUUAAUUUCUUCAAAUUUGAAGCAUGACGUUAAUGGAGUACCAGCACAACUUCAUUGACUGCUACGUGGCGCUGGUGGAAACUAAGGUAUUGCAUCGCUCAUAUCACUUGAAAAAAACAUUUACCCUAGUUACGACCAAAGCUGCUUAGCAGAGGGCGAUACCUCAUCAGGAGCGCCACAAUCAUAUCAUUGGUGUGAAAGCAUUUGUAUGAAGUUUUUCAGUUCUCGAUGUGUUCGAAACCUUAAUUGUGAAUUUGUGCACUUCGAAUUCAAAUUUACGUCACUACGUUAGUUUGACAUCCAUUGAUGUCACGGUAAUUUCACUGUUAUGCUGUGCUGCUUUCAGGUUUAAUGACACGAAUGAGUACAAGUACAUUACAUUUUUCGACGAAGGCCUUCUGUAAUUUCAUACGCUUCUUACGCAACAUUCAAUAGAUUUAUUUACUGUAUUAUCAUUUCGACCAAGGCGAAUUCGACACUUCAAUUACACAAGCACAAUCAAACUUAGUCAUUCCAGUCAGUUACUGAAGCACAGCGAAAACUGUCUGAAUUAGUGCUGCUGAUGGCAUGUAAUUACUCUACUACCACUACCAGUGACAGUAAAUGUCCAUAUAUUUUCAAGUGUGCGAAAUUAGUACUCGUCUACUUCUUAGUGUUAUUUGAAUGCAAUGUAUGUUAUAAAAAUAUUUUUUCAACACUAUAUCAACAUUCUCAUUCCUGUCAGUUUCUGAAAAUCAGCUAAAGCAAUCGCUACCAAUGCAGCUGAUAACAGCAAUUCUUUUUGUUCCCAAUGCCCAUCCAUGACAAUAUAUUUCACGCAUGUGACAAUCAUGGUAUCAUCCUGUUUUUUGUGUUCUAUUCAUGCAAUAAAUAAAUUCAGUAUUUUCAAAUCAUUGGUGCUACAAAACUAUUCUCAUUAUAGAUUAUUCAUAUUUUAUAAAAUGCUGUCAUGUCAAAUUUUGUGUCCUAUAAAUCAUUAUGAAGUCGGCAUUUUAUGCAAUGUAUGUUAUAAAAAUAUUUUUUCAACACUAUAUCAACAUUCUCAUUCCUGUCAGUUUCUGAAAAUCAGCUAAAGCAAUCGCUACCAAUGCAGCUGAUAACAGCAAUUCUUUUUGUUCCCAAUGCCCAUCCAUGACAAUAUAUUUCACGCAUGUGACAAUCAUGGUAUCAUCCUGUUUUUUGUGUUCUAUUCAUGCAAUAAAUAAAUUCAGUAUUUUCAAAUCAUUGGUGCUACAAAACUAUUCUCAUUAUAGAUUAUUCAUAUUUUAUAAAAUGCUGUCAUGUCAAAUUUUGUAUCCUAUAAAUCAUUAUGAAGUCGGCAUUUUAUAUACAACUUUUGUACUCCUAAAUAAACAUACAAAUCUUGUUUUAUGUAAACUUUGUACAUGUGACCCGUCACAGCAAAACCAGGCGCAUGUCGCUCUGAGCUUGGCAGGUUGAGACGGACUGUUUGUUCAUUUAUCUAUUGUCUGCCUUUUGUAAAAUAUGAGCACAUCAAUUUCUUCCAUUAUCUCCUGGUGUCAUUUAGGCUCAUCUUCUGUGCGACAUGUACCUGGUUUUGCUGUGACGGGUCACAUAUUCUAUAGAUAUACAACACUCUAAUGUCACAAUGCCUCUCUCACUCGCUUUUAUAGAGCAAGAUGUAUGAAUAAACAUGACACACCAACUAUGUACAAAAUUGGUAACAAACUGCACCAUUUGUCAGUACACCACAUGAAAUACAGAGAUAUGUCUUAAUUCUAAUCUUUCAUUAGCGACACCAUUUCUUACCCGAGUGCCUCCUUCAUUCAUACAUCUUGUACUUUAACUCGAGAUACCCAUCUUUGAAUAUUUUUAGUAUACCAAGUACUACAAUGUCAAUGUAUUGAAGUCAUGUUCUUGUAGUGUUAUUGGCUUUCUAUUAUCUUGUCAAAAUACCACUUGGUUCUCGCAAAAUCUCAAUAAAAACAAAUGCUAUUGCAUGUAUUGCAUAUUCUAACAGCUAUCCACUGUAUCGAUUUAUCCAUCAUCUGUACUAUUUGUCACAAAAAUGUUAUAUUAUGUAAAUCAUAUUUCAUUACAUAAUGCACACUGCCAAGUACUGCUGAACCAUUUAUAUGUCAUUUAAAUAAAUAAUUUUCAACUUUUUAAAA